UUUCGUGCCACGCUCGAUAUUCGCUGAAUUGGAGACUCAAGGGAAGCCUUUGGGACGUGGAGAGGAGGAGUUUUCUUGAGUUUUCUGUGAUUUCAUCACAGGGAAAGCUGAAUCUCAGCUUUAGGGAGCGGAAUUGGAGAGGGAUUACAGCAGCUAGAGAUGAGUUAUUUAUCCACUUUAGACCAGGGAUAAGCUGCUUUGAAGCUUGGGAAAGGUUUCCGCUCUUAUUUAAGUUCAAUUAGUGACCUUGGGGGCUGGUUUAGAAGGUGUUUCAACCAGG